rnacentral:lncRNA from 1 species
UCCCUCCUUGCCAGAAGAAGAGGAAACGACGACCGGGUCCUGGGGGACAGCUCCGAGGCCAAGGCCGAGGCCGAGGCUUGCCGGAGCCCAUGAGCCGACGCGGCGGCCGGGCCGGCGGUCGAUGGCGGCGACGGCCCGCUCGAAGAGGCGGCCGAAGCUCCGCUCGGCACAGCUGCUAGAGCCUGCGGCCGAUUCCAUCCGCGGCGGGGCUACACCAUUGGAUUCGAUCCCGGCCCCGAAGCGGAUGUCGCCGGAGGCGUCGGUUGGCGCGGAGACAAAGGCGAGCGCCUCCUCCGUGGUCACCUCCGCGCGCAUCGGCACGGGUAAGUAACCGGGUGGGCGGCGACUUGGGCCUGCGUCCUCGGCAGCGGGCGUCGGCGUGUGCGGGGGCAGCCAGUGCGCCGACGGAGGAGGGGGCG